GUCAAGUUAGUACCUAAAAACACAGACUUUACACAAAUUUACACAUUUACAGCGUGAAUACCGAACAGAACUGAGGUAAAUCUAAAUAUCUUAAUUAAAAGUAUUGAGGUAUUUUGUGUUUAUUCGGGGUUUCUUAAGGAAAGGGUGUAGCGUACUGGUUAAACUAACAAUCAUGGCCACCAGCCUAAACCAGUUGAAUUCGACACAUCCCAACCAGACCGGGUGUGAGGGGAAAAGUUACAAAUGUGGCCAUUAAUAUGACAAUAAAGCUUAAAACAUAAUCGAAUACACCAAUAAACACAGAUAUAAACUGUUAAAAUGUACAAAUAGAUUUUUUUUCCCGGAAAAAACAUGUUUUUAAAAGAUGAUCUAGUUCUAUAGAGUAAUCAGAUUGUUUGGAACAACGGUAUGGGUGUAUUAAUCACUAGGUUGCAAUCAUAAGUAAUUAGGUGGAUUAAAAUAGUUAAUAUAACUCGAACCGAGCAUGCAACAUUGCAGCCAUGUGCUUUAGACCAGUCAGUUCUUAGGUGUAGUCUGACUAUCCUCAGCAUGGUCCAAAGGACCUGAAGCUCGAUCUAAGCAUGCACUCACAUCAGAUGGAGUCCGAUUCCUCAGCUCUAAAUGGAUCCUCUUUUUCAUGUCCAUGUCGCCCAGCUUUCAACAGAAACUAAGUUCAGAACUCGUUCGGAUCCUCUUGGCUUUCACAGCAGAUCAGUAUAGAUCCCCGGCAGGCUGAGGAACUAAAGAUAAACAACCCGAACCCCUCUUACUGCCCCAAAACACACCACGUAAACUCGGAGAGAGUGGCAGAACAGAAGCCAUGCAGCCGGAAAGAGAGAGGAAAGAAAAUGUGAGACCGCGUGCAGCGCCGCAUGUGGUAGAGACAUCUACAACAGCAGAGUGCUGAAGCGUGCCGGCAGAAUUACAGCAGACCCCCUCUCAUCCUGGACAUCACCUUUUUCAGACCCUUCCACCUGGCAGAAGACUCGGGACAAUAAAAACGAACACAUCCGGACACGCUAACAGCUUUUCCCCCCAGAGCUGUAACACUUCUUAACCAAAGUUGUUCUCUUGGGUAAAUGUUAGUAAAUACCGGUUAACGGUCCGUGUUACAUGUCAUACACGUGUAAUUAUCUGUACUAUUAUGUGUAUUGUGUGUAUCACCGAAGCAAAUUCCUCGUAUGUGUAACAUACCUGGCGAAAUAAAGUGAUUCUGAUACGUCGAUCGCUCGUAACUCAAGGGUCUACUGUAAUAAUAAAAUAUAUUAACUAGGGAUAGUGGGAGCCUACUGGGUAGAGCUAUGGACUACCAGUUAAAAGGUUGAGAGUUACAAUCUCAGCUCUGCCAUGUAGCCACUGUCGGGCCCUUGAUCAAGGCCCCUAACCCUCUCUGCUCCAGGGGCACUGUACAAUGGCUGACCUCAGCUCUGACCACAGCUUCCAGACAAGCUGGGAAAUGCAAAGAAAGAAUUCCGUUGUAUAUCUGUAUAUGACCAAUAAAGCCAUUCUAUUCUUAUAUUACAUGGGGUGGGUCGGUGGGUAGCACUGUCUCCUCGCAACAAGAAGGUCCCGGGUUCAAUCCCCAGGCGGGGCGAUCCAGGUCCUUUCUGUGUCGGGUUUGCAUGUUCUCCCCGUGUUCGUGUGGGUUUCUUCCCACAGUCCAAAGGUGUGUAUGUGAGGUGAACUGGAGAUACAAGAUCGUCCAAGACUGUUCGAUAUUAAACUUGAACCGAUACAUCUUGUGUAAGCAGUAACUACCUGUCAUGUCAUGAGUGGAACCAAAGUGUAAAACAUCACGUCACA